GGAAGGGACAUGUCCGUAUGGCGAAGCGACAAUGAAGGACACUCACCCGGACGAGAAUUUUAUUGAGUUUUAUUUUGAAAUCGGCCUGAAAUACACAGACAUUCAAGCAGUGCGAUGCGCUAAGAGUCUGCCAUGCAGACCAGCGAUCCUGAUAAUGUUGUCGGUCUUGGAUGAUGAGGUCCAGUUACCAGGAGCACUAGUCUGCAGCUUACUGGUUCCGUCCUGCAGCUCCUCCACACUGUCCUCCUCUCUACAGACCAAAUCAAGAAAAGGGAACCAGGAAGCUGCUGUGGAUCCUCUGCAGUAUCUGGAGAGGUCAGAGGAACGGUUCUUGGAACAGAUCGGAAGACACCAAGACGUGACCUCUGCCAUGCUCCAGAACAUCCAGAAGAUGAAUGAAAACCUUGGUUGCACUGAUGGGACGCAUGGUGUCGGUGCUGGAGCAACUGUCCCAGAAUUAAACUGCAUUGUUGACUAUUGGCUUUUCUAGAAAAUAAAUCUUUUUUAGUACUUCACCUGUUUUGUAUUUUACUCAUGCACUUUGGGUGAAUAAACAGAAAUUUGUGAUGAGA